UCCAGUACCUGACGUCACAACGCUCGAAGCUGAUUGGCUUCAGAACACCAAACUCUUAUAAUUGGCUUCAAGCACUGAUGUCACAUCGCACAGCACUGAUUAUAGGAAGCUAAUUUCAGCUGGAGGAUUCGUCUACUUGCUCUCCCGUCCGACCGUUGUGUGCACGGACGCAGCUUAUGCACGUGCCUCUAUCCGUCUUCGCUAAAGUAUUAGAAUUCGAUGGAGGACGGCCAGUAAUGCCAUAGAGAAAGGGAUGCGGAAAACACACAAAAGAGUGCACGGACAGCUGCUCGGCGUAAGCCAUCAUUCUUCCUUUCGAUUUCACCAGCAUAAAAGGUAAGUGAAUUAUAGAUGCACAUCACUUUCUCAAAGAGUAAGCCUAUAAUCUGUAUCUUUGUAUUUUUACAAGCGUUGCAACGGCUGUUACGUGAACUGGACAGAAAGUCAGGGAAGUACAAGUGCACAAAACAAGCGCUGACUGACAACUGUUUAUUUCCAGACGUGCCAGAAACGGAAGGAUGUGAUACAAAGGGGGAAGGAAAAUGUUCAUGAAACUGUCAAACAAUCACUGUACCCGCUCGUUGUGUUUCUUCCCUGUCCCUGUGUCCCGUUCACGUAGUUGCCGUUCGGCCCACACUGGCCCAAAGCAAAUCAUUGUUCCAUUAUAAUCUGAAGCUCCCGUGUGUUUAAGAAUGCCAUAAUUGGUGUUAACGCUUGGAAUACGUUUUGCUGCACAUGCACUUCUGCUUUUCGCAACUUUGUCGUCGCUCACCUGCCUCUAACCUCCGCGUCAGAAUGUGUGUUGUUCUGUGUUCUAACGUUCUGUUCAUUUUUGGUACAUAGGAAAGUAGCAUGGGUCAUCUAUCCCCUGAUGGUUCUGAGUUUCAUGAGUUGUGCAAUCAGCGUCUCUUAACGACUGUACAUCUCGAGCUAGGAUCCGCUUGAGGAGGAAAGGAUGCCCGACAAUUCCUCUACUAUAUGUGAGCAAGGUCCUUGGGCACAAAUUACUGGCUGAUCUGCAACAAGCAGUGCUACAGAAUGUGUCUUCAGUGAUGGGGUGUUUUGAACCUUAAUAGGAUUAUAUUGGAUUUAAUCCUGCAGUCAGUUGUGGUGGAAAUAAAAGGAAGCACAUAACAGUUGACAUAGUUGUAUGACCAAUGUCAUUUCACGUCGAGUAGCUUGAAUGCCACAGUAGAUAAUGUUACCUGAUGCACUUGUAGAAAUUCCAUGUACGGCUCGCGUCAAAGUUAACUUGAACACCGCUCCAGCCAGCGAAGUGGGAAGGGAGCCACCCUGGUGGCAGCGCCUAGCAGAAAGCAACGCCUUCAUAACGAGGGUCAAAAACACCCUCCGCCGUUAUUUCCACGAAGCACCACCAGGGUCCGCAGGCCGGAAUGGCCUUAAGUUAACUCCGAUGCGAGCUGUACUCCAUGACAGCCACCAGUGUCUGUAUAGCACUCGGGAUUCUUCUUCUUGUAUUGUAACGCAUUUCAUAUUGCCCUAACGCAUUCAGGAUGAUUUUACGAAUUUCCUUAUUGUUUGCGAUGAUUAUAUUUUUCGAUUACGAUGCACGGGUUAUCUUUUGUAACAGUGCCUGUCGAGAACCUGGUUAGCUCUAAUAAAUUUGCACUCUAUGUA